rnacentral:rRNA from 1 species
GACGAAGGGGGCUAGCGUUGUUCGGAAUUACUGGGCGUAAAGCGCACGUAGGCGGGUCGUUAAGUCAGGGGUGAAAUCCUGGAGCUCAACUCCAGAACUGCCCUUGAUACUGGCGAUCUCGAGUUCGGGAGAGGUGAGUGGAACUGCGAGUGUAGAGGUGAAAUUCGUAGAUAUUCGCAAGAACACCAGUGGCGAAGGCGGCUCACUGGCCCGAUACUGACGCUGAGGUGCGGAAGCGUGGGGAGCAAACAGG